GAUGAACGCUGGCUACAGGCUUAACACAUGCAAGUCGAGGGGAAACGACGGGGAAGCUUGCUUCCCCGGGCGUCGACCGGCGCACGGGUGAGUAACGCGUAUCCAACCUGCCUCUGACUGAGGGAUAACCCGUCGAAAGUCGGCCUAAUACCUCAUGGCAUCGUCUGCGGGCAUCCAACGACGAUUAAAGAUUUCAUCGGUCAGAGAUGGGGAUGCGUCUGAUUAGCUUGUUGGCGGGGUAACGGCCCACCAAGGCGACGAUCAGUAGGGGUUCUGAGAGGAAGGGCCCCCAGAGGGGAACUGAGAAACGGUCCAAACGCAUACGGGAGGCAGCAGUGAGGAAGAUUGGUCAAGGGGCGAGAGCCUGAACCAGCCAAGUAGCGUGCAGGAUGACGGCCCUAUGGGUUGUAAACUGCUUUUAUGCGGGGAUAAAGUGAGGGACGUGUCCUUCAUUGCAGGUACCGCAUGAAUAAGGACCGGCUAAUUCCGUG
rnacentral:rRNA from 1 species